ensembl:lncRNA
CUUUUUUUCCCUUUUCCCCCGAAGAAAAGUUUUCAGCUAUGUUUGUUGGGGGAGGUUAACAUCUUUUUUUUCUCUUUGUCUGUAUGCCUUGUGAGGAAUAUUGCAGAAUAUGCGAUGUUCCUGCUGUUCCUGGGCACUUUGGUUGUUGCACGCAUACAGGUGUGUGAAAAGCUAUCCAUAACUAAGGAAGGAAAGGAAGGAAAAGAAGGAUGAAAAGGAAGGAAGGAAAGAAAGAAGGAAGGAAGGAAGGAAUGAAGGAAGGAAGGAAGGAAAGAAAGAAAGAAAGAAGGAAGGAAAGGUUAUGACAGGAAAAUAUCUUUUUUCGGGGUUUUUGUGGUGGUUGUUGUUUCCUGCUUUGCUUAGCAGGCAAGCUGUGUGUGGCUGUGUCUUAUCGGUUCAUGGACAGUACAAACACAUAAAUCCUUUCGACAAAAGUAAGAGGGAGAUUAAUUCUGCAUUGAAAUGGGUAAUACUUUAAUGAGCAGAAGAUGGCCUUUUUUUCCCACCAGGACCCAUCUCACAGACACACCAAAUGCCCCAUGCUCACAGCUCCCAGUCCACUCUUUGCUUUUGCUUUCACACGAUUAAACAAUUACUGAUUCCAUAGUUAUAAAAUGCUUCUGUAUGCCAAUACCCUCUGCUUUAGCCUUCGUUCAGCAGAAGCAUAAAGAUAGAUGACAAAUGAUUUGACAUCAAACUGUUUUGACUGCAGUAUUUAGGGGGGGAAAAAAUGGUAUAUAGGCACUGCAAGGGUCUGCAGCUGCCUCUGACAAGCUGCUGUAGCAGCUUCUGGAUCUCCAGCUUCACAGCGCUAAUCGGUAUUUAACAGACACUUUACAGCAUGUACUUGCUUGAUAGUUGCUUAGAUUUUCAGUGUAUUGGAUAUACUGUGCCGCGGUUGCUACGUUGAUUGAUCACGUCCCUAAAAAUAAUUAAACCAAGCACAGCUCCAGGCAUUGUCUCAGGGAGAAGUGAUAAAUCUGUAGAUUUUCUUUUCGUACUGAUUUCCUUUAAAAAUAUACAUAGUGUUUCUGUCAUUAUUCAGCAAUACUUACUGUCUUAAAUAGAUACAAAUGACUCCGGGGAAGAAGCUCAUCUGCAUUACUCAUAAAUUUGAGUAGAGCUUCAGAAAUAGCAGUAGCAGAUCCCAGUCCUGCUCCCUGUGAGGUUAAAACUCCACUGACUUUUACACCGGCGAUUACAGAAAUAAGAAUAAUACAGAAAUAAGAUAAGUUUUCCCUUACCUUAAAAAAAAAAAAAGAGAGAGAGGGAGGGAGAGAGAGGUUAAGUGAAGAACUUUCUGAAGACAUGGGUGCAGACUGCAAAUAAUUUCAAUUGCAAAUUGCUUUUUUUUUUUUUUUGUCUUUGUUUUAUAAAAGCAUUAAUUUUUAAAUUGUGUAAUUCC